rnacentral:rRNA from 1 species
UACCAGCACCCCGAGUGGUCGGGACGAUUAUUGGGCCUAAAGCAUCCGUAGCCGGCCUUACAAGUCCCCCGUUAAAUCCAACUGCUUAACAGAUGGGCUGCGGAGGAUACUAUAAGACUAGGAGGCAGGAGAGGGCAAGCGGUAGCUCAGUGGGAUGAGGGUAAAAUCCGUUGAUCCAUUGAAGACCACCAGUGGCGAAGGCGGCUUGCCAGAAUGCGCUCGA